AUUAGGUAGCCUCAUAGGCCAGUUGUGCUCAUUAGGUUACCUACAGAGUGGAUCUACUGCAAGUCCCAAUUCCUGACACCUGUCACAAGACCUGUGAUUGGUCUAACUGCUAAACAAUCGACCAUCGCUCACAGGGGUAUUAUCUUAGCUGGCCAGGCUGCCCAACUGGGAAAAAACCGAGUAGAAGGAAGACUUCACAGGACAGGCCCAGCACUGGAGAUGUCAGGAUCCUUCAAGGUAACUGUCCCACAACGCAACGAUGGAUGGUGUGAUGAAGUUGCAACUUGAGGCCAAUUUAUAUCAUCAUAUAAAGACAUGGGACUAUGCACAGCCUUGAGGAAUAAUGGAAGAUGAAUCCCUCAAGAAAGGGCAUGCAUUUUUGGGCAGAACUUGCCUAAACUCCUCCUGUGCUAUUUCUAAUCUGCACUGGGGAUUGCUGACAGCAACUCUGAGGGUUCAUGAACAUUUAAAUAAAUUAGUUCAACUCAAUUAUUUGUCAUUACCUUUAACUCCAAAAAUUAUCUAUCACAAACUGGGUGUCUGAUCUUGCUCCCGUUGUUAAUGUGAAACCUUGAUUAGCUGUACAGAAUUGGGUGCCAUUUGGGUACAAAAAACUUUUACAGCAUCACAAUUAUCUACUGAAUUAAAAUAGCCCAUAGUAGGAAGUGCCCUUCUUUGUAUUUAUCAUAUAGUGAAAAUGGAUGUUCUGGGGGAUCCAUUAGAUGGCUUGAAAAUCCCAUCCAACAUGAAGUAAAGUCAUGCAGAUGAACAUUUCAGAACUAAACAGAUUUUUUUUAAAAAAGAGAACGUUUCAUCCCCAGGUUGGAAGCCACUCAUGCAAUACAGGUAAACUUUAGAAAAAAAUAAUCUUCAAAGCAGUUUUUCACUGCACACUUGUGCAAAAGAAAUAUGUAGCUAUUAACAGAUACAAUAAAUUAAAUGCAGUUGUAAAACAGAACUAAUGAUAUUUGGGAUUACAACUGCUACUGCAAUAAUAAGUUCAGACUGAAAUCCCCUAGUAUUGAUGGUAUCCAGUAUCAUAUGCACAACAUAAUGAUUUGAGAUGAAGUACAAGUCUCUUCAUCUGGAAUUGCAUUACCUGGCUUGCCUAUGUACCCAACAACUUGAGCAGCGAGGGGGAGUAGAGAUCGUGUCUGGUGUAUUUGUUGCACAAGGAAUAGUAACAGCACAAGGCAGGGUUUCCAUUAGCAGUGCAGUCCAGGUCAGGGGUUCUCUUCUUUGCUCCUUUCAGCUGGUGCCAAUUUCUGUCUGGUCAUGCUGCCUGUUUGCACCUGUUGCCGAGGGCAACAUAAAUCUGCACUGAUUUGGGAGGCUAGAAUUCCCCCUCAGUCUUAACCUCUCAAGGUCCUGGUUCGCUAUGCACCUCAGAAUGUUAGCUGGGCAUAUUUCCUCAAGUAUUCUUGUGUGCCAUGGAGUUAAUCUAGCUUGGUGCUCAAAUUGCACUCAAGGCUCUUUGCAAUCAGUUUUGUGGAAGUGGACAAUGACUUAAAUGGAAUUAUUCAUGGUGAAAAAUACUAUUCAACAUAAAUAAGGAUGGUACAAUCUGACACUGCAUUUCUGCAACAAAUAUUACUACAGCAUACCAUAAACAGUGUUUUGCUGAAUAUAUAACUAUAUUCAUACUGCAUCAGAGAGCACAACCAGUCUUUAACUUCUGAUGUUUAAUUUUGUGCAGAGCUUACAUACAAUGAUAGACAGCCAUGCUCUCCGAUCUCCAAAGGGAUUGGUGUAAAGUAUGGAAUUGUUUUUAUGUCAUCAUUAAAAAUAUCAUCAAGGUUAAAUAGAAUAAAGUGCUCUGUGACUUUGCUCUGUUAGUGAACCUUUGCUUAGAGCCAGAUAUUAUUUCUUGUUCUUAAUCCCUUGUAAAGUGUAAGCGUAGGCCAUUGAAGUCUUCUCAAUGGCCUUGCAAAACACUUGGAAUCUGGUAUUUCAUAGUGAACAUUCUUUGAUGUGUAACUGUUUGAAAGGCUGCUUGAGGCUUUUGCUAUUUAAUCUAAUCUUUCAAGAGAGAGUUCAAAACUGAACAUGGAGGCUGAGGAAGAUCUGGUGAAAAAUAAGACUCUCGGGAAAACUUGUUUUAUCUCAGUGUUACCUGGGGAAUGAUGCCAUAGCUUUUCAUAUAGAAGUUUCAGACCUUUUUUUAUAAUUUGCCUCCACUCUUUUUUUGGAAAUAUUAUUACAUUGUUUCAUUCCCCCUGCCCUGUCUUUUUGUGAAAAGCUCUGGAUUGUAUUUUUACAACAAUCUUAAAUUCUUUGCUGUGCAACUGAUGAUCUAUUAGUUAGAUGUGGAGACUGGGAGCUAGGGGGACUUUGCCCCAAUAAGUUAUGUUAAGGGAGGGGAAUAAGUCUUAAAAAUUUCUUUGAGGUUUCACAUAUGAUCAAGAUAAAAAUACUUAAGGGCAUAAGAGUACAGAGUAUGAUGGAUGGCAAGAUAAAGGUUUCAAAGAAAGGGUAAUGGGAGAUGGAUGGAGUUUUAUGUUUAUAGAAAAUACUAUUAAAGUUACUUGGUUAAAAUAAUAAGGUAAGGGGGGGACUAUACCAAUAAAAACAUAUUAAAUACUAGAAUUCAAGAAUACUUUUAAAAUCUUUAUUAAGUGAAGGUUGGUGACUAGUUUAAUGAGUAAAGAGUCUGAUAACCCUAGUCUGUGUACAUGGAUCAUGAACUAUGGAAAGUC